rnacentral:tRNA from 1 species
UCCUUUGCUCUUUUUGUACUCUUUGCAGAUAUCAUGUUCAGGACACAUCGAUAGACAAAUAGCGUUUCUUUU